AUCCUACAAAUGGCAAGUGGAGAAGGCCAGAGGGGCAGCAGAGAGGGGGAUUCCCAAUGACCACAGUGCCAUGGCCGCAGUCUUUUUCAGAAGAAUACGCCAUGCUGUAAGCCAGAAGCAUGAUCAUCCAAAGAGGAGCACUGGAGUUGGCAGUUCUGGCCCUGGAGAAUGGCAAAGAGAGGAGGAGCAGCAGCAGAUGAUGGCAAUAGAACCGGAAGUGGCUGGAGCUGUCAAUUCCCUGUGGAGGACAGGAACUGGGAUCCUGGAGCAAAAGGGAGUCAGAAGAUCCCUAUCCAUGCCUGGGGUGUAGCCUGCCAGGGAGCUGACCAACCCAGAGGAGCCAGUGAGACAGAAGCUGGAGAUGGUGGAGAAAGCCAAAAGGGAAAAGCAAUUAUCGCCUGGGGACUGGAUUUUGUCCUUCAGCAACCAUGACUGAAAAUGGAAAAAAAAGGAGUAUCUGAGACCAACAUUAG